UGAAACCGACAGGGGAGCGAAAUACGCUGAGAGUGCCCACUACCAGGCAGACCCUCGAACCUGGGCGGAUAAUGCCGCCAAGGAAGUCGAGUCAAAUCUCGA
rnacentral:ncRNA from 1 species